rnacentral:tRNA from 1 species
GGGGCUGUAGCUCAGUUGGCUAGAGCGCUUCCAUGGCAUGGAAGAGGUCAGGGGUUCAACUCCCCUCAGCUCCACCA